rnacentral:rRNA from 1 species
GACGAACGCUGGCGGCGUGCUUAACACUUGCAAGUCGAACGGAAAGGGCCUGCUUCGGUGGGGUGCUCGAGGGGCGAACGGGUGAGUAGGAAGUGAGUAACCUGCCCUUGUGUUUGGGAUAACUGCAGGAAACUGGGGCUAAUACCGGAUUGGGGAUCCUGCUGCAUGGUGGGGGUCGGAAAGGUUCGGAGGUUGGGGAUGGACUCGCGGCUUAUCAGCUUGUUGGUGGGGUAGUGGCUUACCAAGGCUUUGACGGGUAGCCGGCCUGAGAGGGUGACCGGCCACAUUGGGACUGAGCUACGGCCCAGCCUCCUACGAGACGCAGCAGUGGGGAAUAUUGCACAAUGCGCGGAAGCCUGAUGCAGCAACGCCGCGUACGGGAUGACAACCUCCCAGUUGUAAAACGCUUUCGCCUGUCGCGGAACGUGAGUGACGGUAAUGGGUAAGGAAGCACCGGCUAACUACGU